rnacentral:rRNA from 1 species
GACGAACGCUGGCGGCGUGCUUAACACAUGCAAGUCGAACGGAAAGGCCCUGCUUUUGUGGGGUGCUCGAGUGGCGAACGGGUGAGUAACACGUGAGUAACCUGCCCUUGACUUUGGGAUAACUUCAGGAAACUGGGGCUAAUACCGGAUAGGAUCUCCUGCUGCAUGGUGGGGGUUGGAAAGUUUCGGCGGUUGGGGAUGGACUCGCGGCUUAUCAGCUUGUUUGUGGGGUAGUGGCUUACCAAGGCUUUGACGGGUAGCCGGCCUGAGAGGGUGAACGGCCACAUUAGGACUGAGAUACGGACCAGAAUCCUACGGGAGGCAGCAGUGGAGAAUAUUGCACAAUGGGCGGGAGCCUGAUGCAGCAACGCCGCGUGCGGGAUGACGGCCUUCGGGUUGUAAACCGCUUUCGCCUGUGACGAAGAGUGAGUGACGGUAAUGGGUAAAGAAGCACCGGCUAACUACGUG